rnacentral:rRNA from 1 species
GGGUUGUGAGGUUAAGCGACUAAGCGUACACGGUGGAUGCCCUGGCAGUCAGAGGCGAUGAAGGACGUGCUAAUCUGCGAAAAGCGUCGGUAAGGUGAUAUGAACCGUUAUAGCCGGCGAUGUCCGAAUGGGGAAACCCAGUGUGAUUCGUCACACU